rnacentral:rRNA from 1 species
UACGAAGGGUGCAAGCGUUGUUCGGAUUUAUUGGGCGUAAAGCGCGCGCAGGCGGAUCAGCAAGUCAGAUGUGAAAUCUCAGGGCUCAACCCUGAAACUGCGUCUGAAACUGCUAGUCUAGAAUAUCGGAGGGGGCAGGGGAAUUUCACGUGUAGGGGUAAAAUCCGUAGAGAUGUGAAGGAACACCGGAGGCGAAGGCGCCUGCCUGGACGAUACUUGACGCUGAGGCGCGAAAGCGUGGGGAGCAAACAGG